GUGGGGAAUAUUGCGCAAUGGGCGAAAGCCUGACGCAGCGACGCCGCGUGAGGGAUGAAGGUUUUCGGAUCGUAAACCUCUGUCAGAAGGGAAGAAACUACGUUGUGCUAAUCAGCAGCGUACUGACGGUACCUUCAAAGGAAGCACCGGCUAACUCCGUGCCAGCAGCCGCGGUAAUACGGAGGGUGCAAGCGUUAAUCGGAAUUACUGGGCGUAAAGCGCACGUAGGCUGUAGUGUAAGUCAGGGGUGAAAUCCCACGGCUCAACCGUGGAACUGCCUUUGAUACUGCACAACUUGAAUCCGGGAGAGGGUGGCGGAAUUCCAGGUGUAGGAGUGAAAUCCGUAGAUAUCUGGAGGACCAUCAGUGGCGAAGGCGGCCACCUGGACCGGUAUUGACGCUGAGGUGCGAAAGCUAGGGGAGCGAACGGGAUUAGAAACCCGGGUAGUCC
rnacentral:rRNA from 1 species